rnacentral:rRNA from 1 species
GACAGAGGGUGCAAACGUUGUUCGGAAUUACUGGGCGUAAAGCGUGCGCAGGCGGUCUUUUAAGUCAGAUGUGAAAUCCCCGGGCUUAACCUGGGAACUGCGUUUGAAACUGGAAGGCUUGAGUGUGGCAGAGGGGGGUGGAAUUCCACGUGUAGCAGUGAAAUGCGUAGAGAUGUGGAGGAACACCGAUGGCGAAGGCAGCCCCCUGGGCUAACACUGACGCUCAUGCACGAAAGCGUGGGGAGCAAACAGG